rnacentral:rRNA from 1 species
AUGAACUUUGUGCGUGUUUAUGGCUUCCUCAUGGGCUUUGAUGCAUUCCAUGUAGAGAAAGUGAUGGAGCUUGCAAAAGAUGGGCACACUAUGAUGUGCUCAAUACACCAGCCGAGAGAUCUCAUCAUUGAGCAUAUGCUUGGCAACCGGCACAGUGGUUCCUUGCAUCUCUCUCAUCAAGUUAUCAGCAACAUUUUACUGCCUUUCACUCCAAAGGACAUUGAAAACCAUACAAAAUAUAAUUUGUACAUCGCCAAUUUUGGCUCUAGUAGCCUUUCUUCUGCGCUACUGGGCUGUCACCAAGAGCAGCUUGUGAUCUCGGAUUCUGGUGACAAAGGCAAACAAGCCUUGUUCCAGGAGCCAAGCCGGCACCCAACACCACCAGCAAGACAGAAGUGCUCAUGGGAGAAACCGCAAAGGGGCUUGCUAAAAAAACUCAAGCUGGAUGGAGGCUUCGUGCAGGAUAAUGUUGGGGCCAUGCUCAUUUGUCUUCGUUCCCAUUUCGAGCGGCGAGUGGUUGAAGGCAGAGAGCCAUGGCGGCUGGAGAUCUCACUCACUGAUCUCUCGAGGUCGAGCCGGUGCUUGGGUGUCUGGUGUCCCCCCUGGCCCCGCCCGGCUUGCUUGUCCUCAAGCGCUCGCAGAGGAAGAGGCGAUCCCUGUGGUGAUCCGGCUGCGCUGUCGUCUCUGCUUCGCUUGAUUUCGCGGCGCUCCUCCCCAUUCCCAUGUGUUAGUCUGCGAGCCCUGUGUCCCCCUCCUCAUCCACCAUCCAUCAUGUGGUUGAUUUUUUUUUGCUGUGGAUCCCUCCUGUUCGGUUGUAUACAUGGGCGGAGCUACACUUUGGCAAUGGGGUCAAAUGACCCCAAUGGAUUUAUGUCAAACUAUUUGUGGUUUGUGUGGACUUUUAACUAUACUGGGCAUUUCAUUUUAUGUUUUCAGAAACUCUCGAGUAGUUUCUCUGUUUAUGUCUCCCUAGACUACUUUGGUCCUAGUAUUCUUCCUGGUUCUAGUGUUCUUUUUGUGACCCAUAAGUACAGUUCCAGAGUUCAAUUUUUUGGUCCCUGCAGCAAACAUGAAUCCAUGAUCUCCUUCAAGCUGGUGUCCCAGAUCAUGGAGGAAUUGCCAUCACGGUGGUGCUUCUCCCUGUUUCUCCUUGCUGUUCUCCCACCUCCAUGUUUUUCCUCUAUUUGGCCUUUGUCGAUGAUCAUGAGAGGAAGAAUGCUUACGAAGAAGAUCUUCUCCUUGGCACAUGUCCUGGAGCUUGGUAACAUCCGACGCCGCUGCAUUCACCCCAAAGGAGCUGGCGCCGCUGCUAGUGUGGUUGUGAAAAAUCCCGAUGCUUCUCCUGUGGGCACCACCCUCUGCCUGCUCGGCCCGCCGCCUCUCUGUUUCCCCCACAACGAGAGCCACGUCCCUGUCCUGCAAGGAGGCGACAUUACCUCACCGCUCGGAGCAACCCGUAGAUGGAGAACUGCCUCGCAUCGUCUCGGUGGAUGGUGUCAACCCAGGAUGCAGGGGCAUGGCGGUAUGGCGGGGACGACGUACAUACCUUGGUGGCAAGCUGGCCGGCUUCUUCCCUGGCUGACACACUCUCAGCGAGCAGCCUCCUCCUCAUUCGUCUGCCCUCCUCCACGGCUACACCUGCCCCACAAGGUUGCACUCGUAUACCACCCGGCCAUCGGCUGCACGAUCUGGGCGGCGAGCAGAUUGUACAAGUGCGGCGUACAGGAGCUGCACGACGGCGACCGAGAUGAGCGUCAAACGGCGAUGGAGAAGGGUAGGCCCUCGUGGCAGAUCCGUGUGUUGGCGGGGGGCGCGGGCUGGCAGCGGCAGCGAUUUUUAUCAAUACAGAUUAGGCCAUCCCUGGCGCUUACGGAUGUCGUUGUUGUCGCUGAUGGCCACAUGCAGAACAUCACUUGUUUGAACAGGAAUGAGAAGCCAUCAAAAACAGGAUUCAGAAAGCCAUCAAUACCACGCACCAAUACCAAGCUACCGCCGGCGAGCCCCCGGUGCGCUCGUCGUCGCCGCUUGAGAGAGUGUGGGGAGAACGCGAGAGAGAAACAAGGUCCCAUCAUCGUGCGUACUCUUUUGAAUUUCGGUUCGAGCGGUUCGUCCUCUCUCCUCCUCUCGAGCCCUAACCUCGGGCACCCUCGAUCGCCGCCGAUCGCCUCCGGCGCCCUCGAUCGCCCCCGGUGCCCUCGAUCGCCGCCGAUCGCAUUCGCCGUGUCUACCCCUCCUGCUCCUACUCCCCCUCACUCCCUCCAUCGCAAGUCACCCCAGUCGGGUCGCGGCGCCAGAUCUUCCGACAAGCCGCUAAUCCACUCCUUCCCCGAGCGGACGCCACCUUCCCCGACCCGAGAGGCCAGAUCAUCCUCAUCGACGUGCAUCAACUUUUUCACACCGGAUCUUCGCUGUAAGUGCCUAGCCAUCUCAAAUCUUUUCUGGUCCCUUCUGCAUAUAGAACCAAUAGGGAAAGUUGUGAUGAGAUUACGAUUGAAAGGAAGUCAUAAUGACAUGGAUGAUAAAGGCAACGAUGGCAAAAACUUGGGUGAUACAGGCAAGGACGACAAGGACAUGGGUCAUAGAGGCAAUAAAGGCAAAGGCAUGGACCCCAAAGAAUUGGAUGGUAUGUGCAUGGAUGAUAAUGAUAAUGAGGAUGCAGGCAAGGAUGUCAUAGACAUGGAUGAUGUACACAUACAAGAGAUUGUGAAGAAGACGUUCAGAACUGAGGAAGAAGCCUACAUGUUCUACGUAGGCUAUGCGAGAAAAAAAGGAUUUGAUGUUAGAAAGGAUGAUCUGAAGUACAAAGGUCCAGGUCCGAAACAAAAUGCAUACAGAAGGACAUAUAAGUGUUGCAAACAAGGAUGGCGGGCCCUUAAGCACUUUAACAGAACUGAAAGAAAAAGAACACCGAGGGGUCUUUCUCGGUGUGGGUGUCCCGCUCUUUUUCAGGUUGAGCUACAAGAUAGCAGUGGCCUCUGGUUCGUCAAGAAUUUUGUGGACAAGCAUAACCAUCUGUUUGUCCCUGCUGACCUGACUCUGUACUUGUCGGCUCAUCGUAGAAUGACUGACACACAAAAGGCCGAUGUCAUCGAGUAUGCUGUCGAUGGACUUCGAACACAUCAGAUUAUGAAUGUAAAGCGUCAGAUUGUCGAAGGGAUAAAUUGGCAGGUCACGGACCAGGUAGCAUGUGAUGGUUUGGUCGUGUUUGGAGUUUUGCGCAAAGCCCCAUAUGAUAAAGCCCCAUAUGGCAGGGAUGCUAGAGAAUUGCAAGGUAAGGAAGGUAAGUAUGCUGAGGACUUGCAUGCAAAAAAAUUGGAUGCUGAGGAUCCCAAUGACUUGGAAGGUAAGGAUGCUGAGGACUUGCAUGCAAAAAACUUGGAUGCUGAGGAUCCCAAUGAUUUGGAAGGCAAGGAUGGUGUGGACUUGCAUGCCAAAAACCUGGAUGCUAAGGAUCCUAAUCACUUGGAAGGUAAGGACAGUGAGGAGUUGGAGGCAAAAAAGUUGGAUGCACAAGGCAUGGAUGCUAAGCCUGUGGAUUUUAUAUAUCACGUGACUUGUCUGUUUACAGGAGCAAGACUGGAUGAUGCAGCUUGUAAAUGUAAAAAGUUGGAAAGUCAUGAUUACCCAUGCGCACAUAUAUUCUGCGUUCUGGAUCAUCUUGGUGUACGCACAUUUCCAAAAAUUUUUGUCAAGAAAAGAUGGACAAUGCAGGCCAAGCCAGCGUUCCCUUCUUCGAGGACUGCGAAUACUCAUGUAUGGUCUGAUCACAUGAAUAAGUAUCAUCAACUACGCAACAUGUCUAGUGACGCUUUAUUCACAGCCACAACUAGCGAUUCACAGUCAGAACAGGUGAUGGAGUUCCUCCAGAGUAUAUUGGUUGAUGGAGAAAAAACUAAUUUGGAUGAAGGCCAUAAAUUGUUUGUUCCUUUGCCGGCAUACUUCUCUGCUGCUCGCGAAUGCUACACUGAUGAUGUGGAAAAUCCAAUCAAAAUAGUUCCAAAAGGGAGACCAACUACCGAAGAAUCGAACAAGAGGAUUAAAUCCAGGCGCGAGCGGAUGAGAGGGAAAAAAGCAACGAAUUUAGUGCACAUGAACAAAUCGGGGAAAUCAAAGGUCACAAGGAGGAAGAAGCGAAAAGACAAAGACUCAGAGACAGAAGAAGACACAGAUUCAGAUAUAGAAGAAGAAGAAGAUUCAAAAAAAGCAACAAAGAAAAAAUCAGGGAAAUUAAAUAGCACAAGGAGGAAGAAGCAAAAAGAAGAGACAACGUCAGAUACAAAAGAAGAGACAGAGGCAGAUACAGAAGAAGAGACAGAGGCAGAUAUAGAAGAAGAGGAAGAUUCAGGUACAGAAGAAGAGGAAGAUUCAGGUACAGAAGAAGAGGAAGAUUCAGAUGCAGAAGAAGAGGGAGAUUCAGAUGCAGAAGAAGAGAGAGAUUCAGAUGAGGAAGAAGAGGAAGAUUCAGAUGUAGAAGAUGGUGGGCUGAGGAGGGCUAGAAAGAGACCAUUGGAGGUUCCAGAAGAGGAUUACGCAAAACCAAACAAGAAACGCAAGGGCGCACCAAAUGUCAAUGCUGGGAGGACGAAAAAGAACGAUGACAAGGGUGCGCGAGGAAAACCAGUGAAGAAAGACUCUAGUAAGGGCGGUAAAGAACAGGACAAAGGGGUGAUGAAGACAAAAAGGCCUGAUAGGAAUGAAAGCUAA